GUUUGGAAUAGUUCACCAGUGAAGUCAUCUCAACCAGCACAGGGCCUUGACUCCUAACAACAAUCACACGAACUUGGAAGAGGAGCCUUCCCCACCUGAACCUUCACUUGAGACCUCGUCCUUGGCCAUCCUCUACAUCUGGAUUCAUGAUACAGAGAAACUUGAGUAAUGAUGACAAUAGCAGUCCAGUGUGCAUGGAUGCUGACGUGGAUGCUGUCUCCCAUUCUUACCACUGGAUGGGAAGAAAUGAUAGAUGCAAUCCAGCCAUUGUGUUCUCGACUCUCAGUUCCAUCUUCUCAACUGACAUUGUCUUCCAAAGUCCGUGCCACACCACAGCCUGGAACAUCUCCCAAAGUGGUAUCUUGAUGCAAUGGUAGAGCUCAUGUCACAGUAUUGUAUGUCUCAGGUUUGAAUAACUCACCAGUGAAGUCAUCUUGACCUGGACAGAAAUUGAAUCCUCCCGAGAAUCCCAGGAGCUGGGUAGGUGAUCCUUCCCCAGAUGAGCCUUCCCUUGAAAUCUCUGCCAGGCAUCUGACCCAGAGAAACUGCCACACCACUUUACAGAGGAACACCAGGGAUGUUCCAGGAACCAUGCCCACAAAGCUUACUAAGCCAUGGGACUGCAUACUACACUCCCAAGGACAUCCACAAAGUCAAGACUCUUGCUUUUUCAGACCAUGAUCAUGGACUGCAUUCUCCAUACCAUGUUCAUAUCUUCAGUGGGAAAACAAACUCCUGAGUCCUGGAGACCUAGAAUGAGAGACACAGCUGACCUUGACCGUAUUUCUCACUUCUGAGAAGAUUGUAGCAGUAAUUCAGGUCUUUGUGGAAUCUCCACACUGCCUUCCACAAUGGUUGAACUAAUUUGGACGUCCACCAACGGUGUGUCAGAGAGGUUAAUCCUAAGAACAGUUACAUGAGCUUGGAAGGAGACCCUUCCCCAGCUGAGCCUUAGCCUGGACCAUCACCUACAUCUGGACUGAAGACCUAGAGAAACAACUCUAUCAGGAAUCACUUGGGACUGUGCAUUCUGUUGACACUCACUUUGUGGAAUUAAGUUGCCCACUGCCAACCCUAAAGCCACCAAGGUAGCAGAUGAGGUCUUGUUCUUUUGGCCAGGCUGGAGUGCAGUGGUACAGUCGUGACUCACUGCAGCUUCAAACACCUGGGUUCCAGCAUUCAUCCCACUUCAGCCUCCCGUGUAGCCGGGACUACAGGUAUGAAAUAAUUUCCUAUUGAAGUCAUCUUAACAUGGAACCAGAAUUAAAUCCUAACAACAAUCAUGUGAGCCUGGGGAGGAUCCUUCCCCACGUGAGCCUUCAGGGGAGACUUCAGCCUUGGCCAUCUUCUACAUCUAGAUUCCUGACCAAGAGAAGCUGUGAGUAAUGUGUAUGUGCUUUUCAGCCACUCAGCUGUGUGGGAAUUUGUUAUACAACAAUAGCUAAGUAACACACCUGGCAUUGAAUGUAAUGUGGUAUCCUAGAUUAGAUACUGGAAUAGAAAAGUGACAUUAUUGGAAACCUGAGGAGAACUAUGAAGAAAGUCUGUAGUUCCAUUGAUGGUUUUAUAACACUGUCAAUUUCUCAGUUUUCAUGAAUAGUCUAUGGUUAUAUAAUGUGUUAACAUUCCUUUAAGCUGAAAGGUAUAUGAAACUCUCUGCACUAUAUAUACCUCCUUCUGUAAGUCAAAUAUGAUUUCAAAAUAAUUUUAAAAUAAUAUUUUGGUGCAAAACAAAAACCAACAAAAAGACACAAGAACAUUAGCUUGGUUUCAGGAGAUGGGGUGGGCAAGUAGGGAAAGAACAGCAGUGCAGCUUUCCUAAUCUAUCCACCAUUCGGAACCCAGGUGCACCUGCUUCAGUUAAACACAGUUAGCUCUGGGGACUCUCAUCCAUUUUUGUCUUUGAAAUCAUGCUACUCAUUAUCCACGAACAUUUCAAGUGUCAGUAACCACUUCUUCAGAGAGAGGUGCCUGUUCCUCAUAUAUCCCAGGAUGCCCCAUUUUCAGGCAUUGUCUGGCAGUUUAUUCACAUAAUUCCAGUAAAGCCUUUCUGGAAAAAAUGACUGCUGGACCUUAGAAGCCGAUAUUGCAAAAUGUCAGUGACAGGGAACACAAAUUGUAUUUCUACAAUCAGGAGAGUGUUUUAAUUCCCUUGGUACAGAGAUUUGUUCUUCAACUGAUUAUCAGAUCACUGUGAUAAUUUCUAUUUCUCUUGUCAUGAAUUAUUUGGGACCAUAUAUUCUGUUGCUCUUCACAUCUUGGAAUUAUAUUGUCCAUUUCCAAGGUCAAAGACCACAGAAUAAAUGUCAUCCUGGCAGCAGGUGAGUAGGGCACACAAACAAUGCUUCUAAAUAUGGUGGUUGAUGACAAUGCUUGCUUACUAAGACCUCGAUAUGAAUCUGUGGACAACUGGUUUUUGGCAGGUGAAGUCAUGUGAGUGAUUCAGUAUAUGCUGUGUAUGGCUGGAGAAAGCUGAGUAGAUACAAGAAAAAGCAGUGUGUAACAGAUCUCCCCCCACCAUGCAGUGAUCUAAGAGAUGGACCCAGGCUAAAUGGUGACUCUGCACGUGUUCUGGCUAAACAAAGAAUCUCACAGCAGGAAGAACUGUCCAGCUGUCCCCCACAUAGGUCCCUGCUCAUAGUUCACGGCACUCUGCGGUGUUAGCAUCAGGGUUGUGCCAAAGAACCAUGCCUACAAAGCCUCCCAAGCCAUGAGUCUGCAUGCUGCACUCACACAGACAUAGACAAAGCCAAGACUAUUGCCUUUAUGAUGGUCUGUAAACAUGGGGCAUAUUCUCUAUAGCACAUUGAUAGCUUAUAUGAGAAAAUGAGAUCUUGCAGCCUGGAGACCUAGAGUGGGAGAUAUGACUGACCUCGACCACAUUUUUCACUUCUGAUAUCAGCAUAGAAGUGAUUUAGGUGCUGUUAUUUGAGCAUCUGUACUUUAAGAAACCUUCCACGUCUUCCAAGUUCCAUAUACUUUACUCUUUAAGACAUGACUCCUCUUUUAAAUUUGACAUCUUAAAGGAGGUUUAUUCCAUUUUUUAAAUUUUAACUGAAGAUACUAUAGUACAGUACUUAAAUGACAGAUCUUCUGUUCCUCUUCAUUUUAAUGCAUACUUUUUGAUCUAUUAUGAUGCAUACUGUGAAUAUUCUGCCCACCAAUAAAUGGACCAAAAAAUGGCCAGAGUGACACAUAUGAGCCACAGUUAGACCUGGACAUGAGUUAUGAGGACUACCACAUGGUGGUCACAAUAAUUGAGAUCUGAGUUCUCAAAUUUAAAGGAAAACAGGCACUAUACACAAAACUCUACUGACAUAUUAUCAUGGACACAAAGGACAGAGUGCUGAGCACUGAGUGCCCAAACAAGUGCUUUAACAGCAUGGAAGGCAUGAUUUCCCACAAUAUACUAAGCCACUAAAUUCACAAAGGCCACCACAAUUCUAAAAAAAGAUGUCACUGCAAACAAACCCAAGUCUUAGACCACAAUAUAAGACAAACAUCCCAACAUGCUGUCUCCACACUCUAGCCUGAUUAGGAGUUGUAGUUCAGUGGAUGAAUGGCCCAUAUAUUUAACAUCAUUACUUCAUGUUCAUGCAAUUCAACCUUCCUGCAGUCUAAAACUAUAGGUGAAAUUUCAGUCAAAGUCCUAAAUUAUGAAUUGUAUGAGUUUCUUCUUCACUUAAUAUUUUCCCAGGGAAACAGGAAAACUAAUUUCAAUAUCCAAGUGUCCAAAAGUAGAGUUUGCCAGAGUAGCAAGGGGGCAGAACAAAGCAUUUUAUGAAGAUCACAAUGCAUCUGCUUCUACAGUGCCUAUGUAUUAUCACCAUUUGUGUGAUUAAAAGGGUGAAUGAGAAUGAAGAAAAACAGAGAUCAAGAAUGUUAUAGAUUAAAGAAUUGAAUUUGUAAUGUAGCUUGCAGGGAUCAUUGCUUAUAUUACUAACUUUAGGACACAAUUUUUUUAAUAUAGAUUUUCCUUAGUCUUUAGAAAACUAGCACUUCAGGAAAAAUUUCAAGUGUCUCUCUACAAUUUAUAUCUUCCUCAUCAACAGAUUUCUUGAACCAUAGUUUAUAAAACAAUUACAGCACUUUACUAAUAAGUCUAAUAUUUCUAAUAACUAAGUAGAAUGUAAAUAGAAUUGUUAAAUUAAUGUGAAAAUAUAUACAACAAUGUUUACUUAAUAACAGACUAAAAUAUAGCAGAUUAGCCACCAUGAUUUUUUCUUUUUCUUUUUGAGUUGGAGUUUGCUGUUUCGCCCAGGCUGGAGUGAAGUGGCGAGAUCUCCCCUCACUGCAACCUCCGCCCCCGGGGUUCAAGUGAUUCUCCUGCCUCAGCCACCACCAUUUAACACUGAGAAGUGGGCAGUCACAGAGAAAAAGUUUAGAAUAGUUCACCAGUGAAGUCAUCUCAACCAGCACAGGGCCUUGACUCCUAACAACAAUCACACGAACUUGGAAGAGGAGCCUUCCCCAACUGAACCUUCGCUUGAGACCUCGUCCUUGGCCAUCCUCUACAUCUGGAUUCAUGAUACAGAGAAACUGUGAUGAGUAAUGAUGACACUAGCAGUCCAGCCUGCAUGGAUGCUGACAUGGAUGCUGUCUCCCAUUCUUACCACUGGAUGGGAAGAAAUGCUAGAUGCAAUCCAGCCAGUCUGUACUCGACUGUCAGUUCCAUCUUCUCAACUCACAGUGUCUUCCAAAGUCCGUGCCACACCACAGCCUGGAACAUCUCCCAAGGUUUCAAAUAAUUCAUCAGUGAAUUCUUCUCAACCUGGUCAAUCAUGUGAACUUAGAAGAUGAUUCCUCCCCAGCUGAUCCUCAGGUGAGACAUCAGCCUUGGCCAUCAUCUACAUCUGGAUUCCUGACCCAGAGAAACUGGAACACUAAGACCCAUUCUUCUUCUCAAGUAUCCAAAAAUAAAGUUGAUCCAAGUAAGAAGUGGACAGCAUAAAAGAUUGUAUGGAAGCUAUAAUGCAUCUACAUCUGCAGUAACUAAUCAUAAAAUGAUUUGUAUGAUCAUUCUUCACAUGAUUAGAAUUACUAUGGGAAAGAAGAAAAAGAAAUGCCUCUCUGGAUGGUGACUAUAACCUAUAGCCUUGCCCAAUAUGACUCAGGAUUUGGUACUGGCUGUGCCUUUCAUGGGAUGCUUACUUAUCCUGGUCGAUGGCCUAAAGCCCAACCGUCCAGCUUAUAUCCAGGGUCUCAAGCCACCCAGGCUGGAGUGCAGUGGCACAAUUAUGGCUCACUGUAGCCUCACCUUCCUGGGAUCAAGCAAUCUUCUUUCUUCAGCCUCCAGAGGAGCUGGGACCACAGAUCCUUUGGCAUUUGAGAGUUGCUUUGUGUAUACGGUCCUUUAACGGAGCAAAUGGCCAGCCAGGAAACCAAAGUAUGGACAAGGGGAAAGAAGCGUCUGUGGAGGAAGUUUUACAAGCGCCCUCCUCAUCCAUUUGGGUGGUGUUGCCCAUAUGCUACAUGUCUGUGGACCACUAUGUGUGUUUAAAGCUUUUUAGUAAAACGUUACUAAAAACUAUGACUCACUGUGGUGAAAAAGGUGGCAAAACAGUGACAACAGUGAGUUUGCUGCUGUUAUUAUCUAUGUGAGUGGUCACGAAAGCACAGGUAGCAGCUGAGGCAAGGGGAGGGAAGCUAGGAAAAGAAUCGCAGUGAGAAAGGGAUGAGAACUUCCAUGUCUGUGUUAAUGUCUGGUUUUAUGAUAAACUUGAAACUCAAGAGGCACAGUUGGAAAUUGUACCUUGCCACUUUGUGUGGCUGAGAGAGAGAAAGCUGUGCCAGCUGAAUGUGUGGACUGUCUUUGCCAGUGCAGGCUGGGAUGCAAAUACCUGUAAUUCUUGGGAAACAACCAGUGAGCCAGAUGAUGACAUAGAGUUUAACUCAGAGGAGGAAGAUCAUUAUCCUUCCCAUUUGAGAGUGAAACUGUUCAUGCAGUGGAAAGCAAAAUUCCAACACACAGAGGCCUGGGUAGGAUUACUGGAUAUAAUAAAAACUUUAAAACAGCUGCCAAGAGAAAGCCUUAUGUACAUGAAUGGUGCAGCUAUGGGACACCAGUAGGGAUGAUAUCUCCCUAAAAGGGAAUGAACCUGAAAAAUUGAGACAGAAGUACCCCGGAAGUGAAAUAACCCCCUUAUGGGAUAAGUUAUAGGGAAAGCCAUUUCAGAUUUCCUAGAAACUCAAAAGGAAAGAGAUUAGGUAUGACUGGUUGCUAAAGGAAAAUGGAAAAAGGGAGAAACAAAGUCUGCUGGACUGAAAAAAGGAGUUUAAAAAAGACACAAUUAAGGUUACUAGGAAACAAAUGUGGUAUGAUCUGAUUUCAGCUGGGAUUGACAAAGAGAAUAUAGAUGGGCAACCCAGUGGCAUAUUAGUGGGGUAUGGAAAGACCUGACUCCUGAUCAAUAGUUUAGACACCUUCUUAUUACCUCCCCCACCCCCCAUGAGAAGAGGGAGAAAGACAGGAAGAAACCUUUGGUAAAAAUUCAGGGGUGCACUUCUUUCCAGCCUGGAGAUCAUAGGUAGGGUCAAGGCUGCUUCUGUGUAAGAGCAAUAGGGGGUGACCAGAGGCCGUAUUUGGAGCUCACUAUUGAUUGGAGUCUAAAACAGCACUAAGAGAACCUUAGCUUUAGUGGGCACAGGUGCAGAAUGUGUCUUAAUUGAUGGAAAUCCAGAGAGACACCCUGGUAAGUGGGAAGCUAUAGAUGGUUGUGAGGGGUUAAAAAUCUGAGAGAAACAAACUCCUCUCCUCCUUAGUUUUGUCUGGAGUUCCCUCUUUGCUUACUCUCCUGUCUUUAUCUCACCUAUUGCAGAAAACAUCUUGAAUAUGGAUGUCUUCUUAGGAUGCACUUUACAAACAUCUGUGGGGGAAUCUCACCUAUGACAAAGGCUGUAUUAAGAUUGGAGGCAAAAUUAGAAGGUGUACACCUCCCUCCCCCACAAUGUAUUGUUAAUGUGAGACAAUACCAUCUUCCUGGUAGAAUAUAAGAAGUCACAGCCGCCAUGGAGAAAUUGGCCAAAGUUAAUAUUAUCUGGCCAGCCCAGAGUCCUUUCAGCCAUCCUGUGUGACCAAUAAUAAAAUCUGAUGGCACUUGGAUAUGACAGUAGAUAAGUGGACACUACUGAUCUUUCUAAGAUACAUGCUCCUUUAUGUAAUGUAACUCAAGUGAUUGAGCAAUUAAUACAAAACAUAGGCACUUAUCAUGCUGUGUUAGAUUUAGCUAAUGCCUUCUUUAGCAUCCCUUUUACCCUGACUUGCAGUCAUUAUAUUGAUGAUACUCUAACUUCUGAAGACUUGUCAUUGCUACAGCAACACGGAGAUGCAUUGACACCCUUCUUCAAUCCAGAGGAUGGGCCAUCAACUCACAAAAGUACAAGGCCUGGAACCAGCUGCAAAGUUCCUAUGGAUCACUUGGCCAGACCGUGAUCAUGGGCUACAUUCUCCGUACCAGCUUCAUAGCUCCAGUGAGAAAAUAAAUUCCUGCAUCCAGGAGAUGUGGAGUAAGAGAUACAGCUGCCCUUGACCAUAUUUCUUACUUCCGAGAAGAUCGUAGCAGUAAUUCAGAAUCUCAUCCAGGAUACCUCAUCACAGGCUGGAGUGCAGUGUCAUGAGCUUGGCUCACUACAGCCUCCAUCUUCUGUGCUUAAGGAUCCUUCCCUCUCAACCUCCAAGGUAGCUGAGACUACAGGUAUGUGCCACCAUGCUGGACUAAUUUAUUGUUGUUGUUGUUGUUUGUUAGAUUUUUGGUAGAGGCAAGGUUUCACCAUGUUGCCCAGGCCAGAGUCAAACUCCUGGGCUCAAGUGAUAUUUAUUUUGUUAUAGAGAUGGGGUCUUAAUGUGGUGCCCAGGCUAGUCUGGGAUUACAGGUGUGAGCCACUGUGCCUUGCCAAAAACUGCCAUUCUCAUCAUAUCGUACCAAGAGUACAAACUCAACAAGGGUACAAACUGUCAACCAGAGUAGACAUUCAUUAUUGGCAGAAUGUCUACAAAUUCCUUUAAACCUUCACCAUAAACAUGUGCCUACUCUCUUCCAAUUAUUUCAUGUGUAUUAAUUUAUUCAUUUAUACAUGCAUCUUUUAUUUAUAUCAUUAUCUAAAUAUGGAGAUUUAUUUUACAAUGCGUAUGUGCUAUUUUUUUUUUUUUGAGACAGAGCCUUUCUCUGUUGCCCAGGCUGGAGUGCAAUGGUGCGAUCUCAGCUCAUCGCAACCUCUGCCCCCUGGGUUCAAGCGAUUCUAGUGCCUCAGUUUCCUGACUGGCUGGGAUUACAGGCAUGAGACACUACACCUGGCUAAGUUUUGUGUUUUUAGUAGAGACAGGGUUUCACCAUGUUGGCCAGGUUGGUCUUAAACUCCAUACCUCAGAUGAUCCACCCUCCUCGGCCUCCCAAAGUGCUGGGAUUACAGGCAUGAGCCACCAUGCUUGGCCGCUAUUUUUUUUUUUAAUUGCACAAAUUGUUCCAGUGUUGGCUAUUGGAAGGUUUUUAAGUUGUCUCUUGUAUCACUUUGAAAUACCUCCAUAAUUAAAGUUUGAUGUUGUGUGGUUGGUUGGUUUUGUUGUUGUUUGGCAUUUUCUUUUGUUCAGUCACUAUUAUAUGCUCCAGUCUAUGAAUUUAAUUGUGCUCCAGGGUAAUUUGGUAAUUUUAUAAUUUCUACGAAUGUUUCCAACACCAUAUGACCUAAUCCAGCACCAUAUAAAUGGAUCCACUCAUUCUCUCAUUUGUAUGUAAUCUAGCACUCCCUGCAAGCAAGUUGAUGUUGUUAAUUUAAUCAUGCUACCUGAACAAGGUAUAUUGCUAUGUAGAAAAAUACAAGUUGAAACAGUCAAAAUACUGUGUAAUUCCAUUCAUAUGACUCUGUAGAAAAGGAAAAAGUGUAGUGAUAGUAGAGUUCAGUGGUAACAAGGGGCUUGGGAGAGAUAUAGGUGACAUCAGUGAACUACCGAAGAUUUCUUUUGGGCAGUGAAAUUCCUCUUUGAUACUGUAACGGUGGAUACAUCAUAAUGUUUUCCAAAUCCUGAAGAACUUUGUAACACAAAGAGUGUAGCUAAUUUAUGCAAAUUAAAAACCUUAUUUAGGAGGUCACAAGUUUGCCUUUUCACAGUAUUUUACCUUUUCCAACUUAUAUUUUUUAGCAAUAUGCUUUUUAGAUUUUUGAAGUACACCUCAUGGUUUUUAGAUUUGCCUUCACCUAAUUGUUGUAGGACAGGUGAGUCACACAAUUGGGGCUUAUCCUGAGAGGGUUAUUAGCUUUGUCCAGGAAAGAAUUUAAGGGCAAGUGGGUGAUGUUAGACUGCAAUAUUUUAUUGAAUGGUACUGCUCCUAGCAGAGCAGGGCUAACUCUUAAGCAGUGUGUUCAGAGUUGGCAACAUAUAGGCCUCCUGGCAACUGUGUUUAUAUGCAAUCAAACCCACUUUUAAUUAUAUGCAAAUUGAGGGGCAGAUCAAUGCAAAUUGAGGCAGGAAAGGGGCAGUGACUUCUAGGUUGUCUCCAUGGAAAGGGGCAGUAACUUCUGAGCUGUAGCCAUGGAAUUUGUAAACAGUUAUGUGGUUGGUAGGAGUGUCAUAUGAGUGACAAAUGAAGACUGCCAGGGAUCACAUUUACCACAAUGUACACGCUUCUGUCAGUUUUUUCCCUUUAUCCUGUCUGGAGCAGAUCUUAUUUUGGUCAUCAAGGUUGUGAAACCAGAAAACAAGUCCUUCCAGUCUCCUACCUCAUAAUGACAAAAGACAUUGAGCAUAAUUUCAUGUGAUUUUGGAUAUGACUAUGGCUUUCUUUUGAGAGUUGGCUAUUUAAGAUUUUGCCAUUUUUGAUUGGGAUAUUUGCCUUUUUAAUUUUGAGUUGUAAGACAUUGUAUAUUCUGGAUAAUAGACCAUUAUCACCUAUAAAAUUUGCAAUUUUCACAUAUUUUCUGCCAUUCUUUGGGUGCCUCUUUAUAUUUGAUGGUGGACUUUAAAUUGCAAAAGAUUUUAAUUCUAAUGAAGUUUAAUAUUUCUAUAUUUUCUUCUUUCCUUUGUGCUUUUCAGUGUCAUAUCUUAAAACAUUGUUUAACCAGAGACCACAAAGAUGUAUUCCUGUGUUCCUUUUUAUGGGUUGGCCCUGUUUAGCUCUUAUAUUUAGAUGGAUUAUCAUUUUGAGUCAAUUAUGUUUCUGGUAUGAGGCAAGAGUCUAACUUGCAUGUGGAUAUCCACUUGACCCACAAACAUUUGACAAGAAAAUAUUGCUUCAUACCUAAUUUAUUUGGCCACAGUAUAAAAGCAUUUCACCAUAAAUGUAGGGAUUCAUUUUUCAGUAUUAUAUUCUCUACUCCAUUGAUCAAUACAUAUAUCCCUAUACUAGUACCACAAAUCUUGAUUACUAUUACUUUGUAGUAAGUUUUGCAAUCAAGAAGCAUAUGUCUACUAUGCAAACCCUUUUUGUCCUUCUCAAGAGUGUUUUGGCUGCUCAUGAUCUAUAUUAUAUAUAAUUUUAGGAUAAACUUCUGAAUUUAGGGGAAGGUAAUGCCACCUGGUGUUUUGAGAGAAGUUGCAUUAAUUCUAUAGAUCCAUUUGGAAAAUAUUGCCAACCUAACAAUAUGCAUUCUGUAGUUUUUAGUGUACAUAUCUUAUACUUAAUUUGAUAAGGUUAUUCCUAAGUAUUUUUGAUGUGAUCUUAAUUGGAACGAUUUUCUGAGUUUUGUUUUUAGAUUGUUAAUUGCUAGUAUAGAGAAAUUUAAAAUAUUUUAUAUAUUUUAUAUGCUGCAAACUUCUUUGAACUCAUCUUUAAAUUCUAAACAUAUUUGAUAGAGUCCUUUGGACUUUUUAUACAUGAGAUCAUGUCAUUUGCAAACAGUCGGAGUUUGACUUCCUUUCCAUACUAGAAACGUUAUAUUUAUUUUUCUAAAUGAAUUGCCCUGUCUACAUUCUCCAGUACAAUGUUGCGAACAAGUGUCAACAGUGGAAAUAUUUGACUUCUUUCUAAUAUCAGAGAAAUUAGUGAACCUUUCAGAUUACUUAUGAUGAUAUGUGAGCUUUUCAUAGAUGCCCUUUGAAAUGAAGAAAGUUCUCUUAUCUGCCUAAUUUGCUGCAUGUUUUUAUAAUACUGAAUCUGGGAAUUUUCAAGUGCUUGUUGCACACCUUCUGAGACGAUUGUGUAGUUUUUAUUCUUUAUUAAUAUAGUGUAUGACAUUAAUUGUAUCAUAUGUUGAACCAAAUUUGCAUUCCUGAGGUAAAUACCUUUUGCCAUAGUUUAUAAUACUUUCUACAUGUUGCUGAUUUCAUUUGAUAAUAUCUCGCUGCUGAUUUUUGUCUCUGUAUUUAUAAGGCAUAUUGGUCUUCAUUCUCCUUAUUUGAAAUGUCUUUGUGUAGUUGUUCAAUCAGGGUAAACUAAUUCAUAGUAUACAAUGGGAAGUGAUCUAUUUUCUACUUCUUUAUUAUUAUUGUAUUGUUUUGAAAUAUUUUUGAUAAAUUAGUAUUAAUUUUAAGUGAUUUUAAUAACACAUCAAUGAGUUCCUGAUGAGGGCAGGGAGGUGAAUCCUAAGAACAAUCAUGUGAGUUUGGAAGGAGACCCUUCCCCAGCUGAGCCUCAGCCUGAGCCAUCCCCUACAUCUAGACCGAAGACCCAGAGAAACCGUGAGUAGUAUGUGUGUGGUUCUGAGCCACUAAGGUAUGUAGUAAUUUGUUAUGCACCAAGUAGUAAGUAAUAUACCUGACAGUAAUUGUUAGGUGGUAUUCUGGAUUAGGUCCUGGAAUAGAUAAGUAUAUGAUUAUUAGAAAACCUGGUAAAAUAUGAAGGAAGUUUGUAGAUCAGUUAAUAGUCUUGAAAAACAGUUAAAUUCUUAGUUUUCAUGAAUAUGCUAUGGUUACAAUAUAUAUUAACAUUCUAGUUAUCUGAAUGGUAUAUGAAACUGUCUGUACUUACCUAUGUGCAUUUAUGUAAAUCUGCAGUUAUUUCAAAAUAAAUAUGUUUUUUAAUAUUAUUAUUAUUUUUUUAAGAAAAGUAAGCAAGUAAAGACAUCAGCAAAAAACUUUUGCCUCCAGAUACAAGUGGGCAUGUAGGGAGAGAAUAGUAAACUGGCUUUUCUUUUCUUUUCUAGGCAACAUUCGAAACCCAGGUGCCACUCCUUCAGGAAGGUACCAUCAAGCUCCAAGGACUCAUCCUCUUUCUCCUUCCCCACUACCUAGUCAUUAGAGCGUCAGCAUCCACUUCCUGAAAGGAAGAUGCCUGUUUUUCACAUAUCCCAGAAAGCCUCAUUUUAGGACAGCAUUUAGCAGAGUGUAUUCAGGAUCCCACUAACCUUUUCGGAAGACAUGACUUCCAGAUGAUAUAAGGCUCCAUCAGGAACUGUGCAGGACUGUGCACUCUGUUGAUACUCACAUGGUGGAAUUAUAUUGCCCUUGGCCAACCCUAAAGCCAUCAAGAUAGCAGGUUUGGAAUAAUUCACUGUCGAAGUCUUCUUGAGCUGAGCAGUCAUGUGAGCUUGGAAGAUGAUCCCUCUCCAGCUGAUCCUUCAGCUCAGGCCAUCAUCUACAUCUGGAUUCCUGACCCGGAGAAACUAUGAGUAAUGUGUGCUGCUUUUGAGCCACUAAGCUACAUGAAUUAAUGAAGGAUCAUUAUUAAGUUUUUAAUGGGUCAAGAGAAAGUUACCACUGAGGUCUUCUCUACCUGGGCAACAAUUGACUCCUAACAACCACUAUAAGCUUGGAAGAUGAUCCCUCCCCAGCUGAUCCUUCAGGAAUUUCCACUGAAGUACCUCUGGUUGAAAAGGAGAACAGAGACUUUUUUCACAGCCACAGGACAAAAUUUGUUCAGAAUUAAAUGCUGAAAAAGGAGAACCUGACACCAUUAUUCAUAAUUUCACUGUAUAUGAAGAGCAACCCUAUACUCCAUACAAACAACAUAGACUGUGGAAUUAUGUUGUGAAAUGUAAAGAGAAGAUGAUUCCCAAAUUUAAAGGAAACUGGAGGUGUUCUGGAGAAACAAAUAGAGGUGGUUAACCUUACUGAUUUCUUCUCUUGAUGAUAAUUGUUAUUUGCACUGUAAGUAAAAACUUCUACUUGAAUUACUCUACAAUGCUGUAAAUCUAUCACUCACACAUACAAAAUACCAUAGGAAAAAGGGGUAGUUCCACAUGUGGUGGUGAAGCCUACUUAGGUGCAUAAUUUUCUUCAUCUCUAAAGAGCGUCCGUUUGACGGGGUGUAGUGGCUCAUGCCUGUAAUCCCAGCACUUUGUGAGGCUGAGGUGGCCAAUCACUUGAGGUCAGGAGUUCAAGACCAGUCUAGUCAAUGUGGUGAAACCCCAUCUCUACCAAAAAUAUAAAAAAUUUGCCAAGUGUGGUGGCUCACACCUGUAAUCCCAGCACUUUGCGAGGCCAAGGAGGGCAGAUCACAACGUCAGGAGUUCGAGACCAGCCUGACCAAUAUGAUGAAACCCUGUCUCUACUAAAAAUACAAAAAUUAGCUGGGCAUAGUGGCACAUGCCUGUAAUCCCAGCCCUCAGGAUACUGAGGCAGAAGAAUCGCUUGAACCAAGGAGGUAGUGGUUGCAGUGAGCCGAGAUUGCACCGCCGCACUCUAGCCUGGCCGACAGAGCUAGACUUCGUCUCAGAAACAGAGAGUGCAUUCAUCCCUGGGCUUCUUGCAAAAUGGCCUUAUCAUAUACAGGCCUCUGUUUUUGUUUUGGAGUUUGUUUGUUUGUUUGUUUGUUUUGCAGACAGGGAUAAAUCAAAAGGAUUGAAGGCCAGGUUCACUAAAUGGCUUCUCCUGGUACUGGGUUUUCCUUCCGAACUGUUCCCAUAGUUCUGUGACCAUGUCUCCAUAGAAUAAGGGUGGCACGUGGCAAACCUAAAUGCAUGGAAGUGGGCAUGUUUACUCUCUCCCCAUACUUAGCACUGGAUGUGGAGAAUGGCUUGAUGAAAUUGGGUCAAAGUGUUCUUCCAGAAUCGCCGUUCCAUCUUCUUAACUCAGAAAGUCAGCCAAGGUUAUUGCCACGCCGUAGACUGAAAAUCCCCUGGAAGCACAAAGCUGGAGCAAUAUGAGGGUUCACAUCAUGUUCAACAUCUCUCAGCUAUCACUGCUCUUCAUCGUUUCAUGUACAAUGUCUUGCAAAUCAUUGUUUAAUAUACUGUGUUGAUUUUUUUCUUUUUUGCAUGUGGUGAGGCAUAUCAAAUUUCUAUUAGUGUUUCCAUAUCUUGAUUCAUUCCUCCUGCAAUUGCUAAAUUAUUACUGUACCUUCAAGUUGUCAAUAUUAAAGUGAGUAAGUAACAAUGUAAUUCAAACUCACAGAGAAAGACAGAAAAGUAAACAGGUAUUUGGAACUCUAAAGAGAAGGGAAGAAAUGGUCUACCCACACAGUGUCUGCCAAAGUCUCCACUGUAUGUCAAUAACUCAAAGACUUGAGGAUCUAAAAGAAAGGAUAAUAUCUCUGACAAUGAAUCUAUUAUACACUUCUUAGCCUUAUUUUAUGACUACAACAAAACUCUCAUAUAAUUAUGCAGG
rnacentral:lncRNA from 10 species